CCUACGGGGGGCAGCAGUGGGGAAUAUUGCACAAUGGGGGAAAGCCUGAUGCAGCGACGCCGCGUGAGUGAAGAAGUAUUUCGGUACGUAAAGCUCUAUCAGCAGGGAAGAAAAUGACGGUACCUGACUAAGAAGCACCGGCUAACUACGUGCCAGCAGCCGCGGGAAUACGUAGGGGGCAAGCGUUAUGCGGAUUUACUGGGUGGAAAGGGAGCGUAGACGGUAGCGCAAGUCUGGAGUGAAAUCCCAUGGCUUAACCAUGGAACUGCUUUGGAAACUGUGCAGCUGGAGUGCAUGAGAGGUAAGCGGAAUUCCUAGUGUAGCGGUGAAAUGCGUAGAUAUUAGGAGGAACACCAGUGGCGAAGGCGGCUUACUGGACUGUAACUGACGUUGAGGCUCGAAAGCGUGGGUAGCAAACAGGAUUAGAUACCCCAGUAGUC
rnacentral:rRNA from 1 species